UCCAGUUGCAAGUCGUGUUUCGCGCCAAAGGAAUAGAGCGCGAUCCGUUGGUCUAAAACCCUAGGCGAUAGGAGCGUGACGGAGUGCAGGAAAACCUGGGAUAAAAAAGAUUCCGGCGAGCGGGGGAGGAAAGCAUGAGGAGAAGGAAUCUUCGUCUGCCUAGCUCCUCCGACGAGGAUGACGAUGCUCCGAGGCCUCAAACUGUAGAUACGCUGAUCACUAACCCUAGACAUAGCUCUCCGCCUCCCCAAAACGCUCCUCUCGAGAUAUCAGAGGACGAGUUCAUGGACGUAGAGGAUGCUCUCUCCGAGCAUUAUUCCCCUCCAGUUUCUGUCCAGGAUGUUAUAGCAAGCUCCGAUCGCAUCGAGGCUACUGACAGUGACCCUUCUACUGGGCUGGUUGAUGAGUUUCUCAGACGGGUGGGGCUAGGGCUGCGGCGGGAAUGGCUGACUUCCUGUUUGUCCGGUUUUGUACACGCGGUUCCGGGAUUUGAGGGGUUUGAUGUUGAUAGAAAGGCCAGGAUGUGCUUUGAACAGUUUCUCAGCGCGGACAUGAACUGCUGUGGCGCUGGUAUCCUACCGGAGAAUGUGCACUUCAUGAACAAAAUGGAGCUAGAGGGACCCUUCGUGUUGCAGGUUGAUGAGGUAACCAAUGUAAGUUGUCCACUUCGAGAGAGGUAUCAUGAUUCACCAGCUGGCUUGAAAAGAUGUUUGAAACUAUCAUUAUCGGAUGGCAUGGAACAUGUUUUUGGCAUGGAAUAUAGGCCCAUCCCUGACUUGCAUGUUCUUUCACCUGCGGGCAUGAAGAUUAUCAUACAAAAUGUACAAAUUCGACGGGGUCUUUUUGUACUUGUCCCCGAAGUUGUGGAUGUUCUUGGAGGGCUGGUUGAGGAUCUUGAUGCCGCACGUCAGAGACUUAUUAAUGAAGUAAACAAGCCACCUAGAGGCAAAAGGAAACAAGCCUUACUUCCAUUGUGUCAAAGAGCGACCCUUGCAGCAUGGCCCUCUAAUACUGUUAAUAGCAAUGAUGCAAAUACUUCAGAAGCUUACAUCAACAAUAACGUUUCACAAGCAAAUAUUUCAAUUCCACAUAGUAGUAAUGAUCCAAAUUCUUCUGAAGGUCACAUCAACAAUAAUGUUUCACCAGCAAAUAUUUCAAUUCCACUUAAUCUAAGCAACCCCCGCCUGAUUCAAGAUGCUAGAACUACAUCAGUUACUGUCAAUGAGAGACCAUACGUUGACAAAAAUGUUGAUCCUAAUACAAGAAGAGAUAGCACGGAAAACCCAAUUUCUCAAGAAUUUGGUAGAAAUUUCAAUGAAGGAUUUGUCCAUGCCAAGGAAAGCAUAGCAGGAAGGCCUACUUAUGGCAGCAGCUUGAAUGUUGAACCUUGCAUUGUCGCUGAUGUUGCUGAGUCUGUACAGGAUGGCUAUGCAAUGGACGAGGAUGUCACAAUUAAUGAAUUUAACAACUUCACUAUUCUAACUAGAGCGAAGGAAAUUCCUUUUACAUAUUUGGCAUGUUUGCUUGCAAAAUGGAUUAUAGAGAAGGACAUGACAUCAUCCAUUCAAGGAAGAAUUAAGUGUAUUUUGACUGGUGUGAAGAGAUUCCAGUUCAAGCAUCGGAGUACCUAUGAACUUCUUGUUUAUAUUGAUGACGGUAGUUACAUAUCUGAGGUCUUCAUUGAUCACAAUGUUGUGCAAAUUGGUAUAGGCUACUCACCCGAGGAUGUCUCUGUUGCUCUUUCUUCUUCAGACAAGAAAAUAAAAGCAGAUAUGACAGAGACAAUGAAAAAAUACCAGCUUUUCUUGUCUAUGUAUGAGGGCAUAAUAACCUUGGAGAUAAGCAAGAACGCUCCGCUUCCUGUGGUACUUGAGAUGAGCCAGGGUUGUUCAGAAUCUGAUGCAUGGCUUCUUUUAAAGAGAUUGAAGAGCUUCACUUUUAGGAAUCCACAAUGUCGCUCUACAGAGCCUAUUGUUCUUUCACCAUGAUGGAUAAUGUGCCUAAACGGGGCCGAAGGCUGUUUGUGGAAUGGGGAUGAGAUCAAAAUUUUCUUGGGCCUGUUUACUUCGAUUAUAUUCGUGUGCCAAGGGAUGGGAGCUCCGUUCAUGUUUUGAACCUCUUUUUAUGGGAUUUGCUUUACAGUUUUACUUCUUUUUACCCCCAUACCAUCCCCUCUUUUUGCUUGCUUCCUGCGCAUUGCAGAUGCGCAGCCUAACUGUUGAGCCACAUGGAGAAGUUUAUUCAUGGACUGGUACAGAGGUCUCUGACGAAUAUAAACUAGGUGCUCAUGUGCAUCUUUAGCUGAUUAAUGAGGAAACUUAGACACUUUCAAGUACUAGUGCAGCUUUCUUCUAUAAACAGAAGCACUAAUCUUACUAGAAGCUCAUUCUUACAAUGCAAAUACGUCCAUCUCUGAAUCUGCAACAAUGACAUUGGCAAUUCCUGAAAGCUCGUGUUGCAUGACAAGUUUAAGAUACUACGGCAGCAUGUUUUUUGUUCAACUCGACGGAACGAGUAACUUGAUAAAAAUUUUGGGAUGUUUUAAUCCGGUACGGUUGAGAAAAUAAAAUUGUACUUUCUGGUUAGUUUGCAGAAUAAAAUAGCUCACCAUUAAUGGAAAACAUUUACUACAAUAUGCUACUUACCAUCUAAUUGUUUCUCCUUCAUGCUGUCUCAAUUGCCUGUAUGGGUAAAAGGGCGUUUUCAAUAUAUUUUAACAAUCAACUAGAGAUUGUUAUAAUGCUGUCACAUAGGAUAUGCUUCAUUUUCAUUUGCGCAAGUCAUUUAAUCUUUAUAUAUAGCUUAAAUAUGGUGAAAAAAGAUAUGCAAUAUGUUGGUGAGCCCGUCAAAGUGGGAACCUGAAAGAAACCAGCACUGACAAGAAAACCAUCGCUACAGAGAAAGAGGUUGGAACAAUUCUACUAUUUUUGGGUUAUCAUGUAAUGCCACUCGACAUAGUGGGCAAUGGCUUCUUGAAUGAUCCUUUUGUAUUCAGACUAGCUGGAUUUGUCAGCCUUCAUCUCUCCAGGCACAUUCUUUGAGCCUUUUUCAUUGUGCAGUGCAAAUUUUCUGAUGGCUUUCUCCUCUGAUUGCAUGUUGGGAGGUUUGUUCCUGUCAUCACAGUGCGGUAGGUUGAUUUCUUGUAAUUUUUUUGUCUUUUUUUUCAUCUUCUUUUUAUUUUUUGAGAAGCACAAAUUUUCAUUUGUGAAUAUUUCGACCCAAAGAACUAUCCAAAAUGUAAAAUUUCGGUUUAUUGACCUUGUUUAACAUGUAUAUUUCUUCAUGCUUGAUCCUUAUUUUGUUCCUUAU